rnacentral:rRNA from 1 species
AGCGAACGCUGGCGGCAGGCUUAACACAUGCAAGUCGAACGCCCCGCAAGGGGAGUGGCAGACGGGUAAGUAACACGUGGGAACGUACCCUUUGGUUCGGAAUAACUUGGGGAAACUCAAGCUAAUACCGGAUAAGCCCUUAUGGGGAAAGGUUUACUGCCGAAGGAUCGGCCCGCGUCUGAUUAGCUAGUUGGUGGGGUAAUGGCUCACCAAGGCGACGAUCAGUAGCUGGUCUGAGAGGAUGAUCAGCCACACUGGGACUGAGACACGGCCCAGACUCCUACGGGAGGCAGCAGUGGGGAAUAUUGGACAAUGGGGGCAACCCUGAUCCAGCCAUGCCGCGUGAGUGAUGAAGGCCUUAGGGUUGUAAAGCUCUUUUACCCGGGACGAUAAUGACUGUACCGGGAGAAUAAGCCCCGGCUAACUUCGUGCCAGCCGCCGCCGUAA